rnacentral:rRNA from 1 species
CCCUUAGAUGUUCUGGGCCGCACGCGUGCUACACUGAGUAAUUCAAUGGGUAAGGGAACGCUAGAGCAUUACCUAAUCUUGAAAUUUGCUCGUGAUGGGGAUCGACGGUUGCAAUUUUCCGUCGUGAACGAGGAAUACCUUUUAGGCGCAUGUCAUCAUCAUGCGCCGAAUACGUCCCUGCCCUUUGUACACACCGCCCGUCGCUCCUACCGAUUGAGUGAUCCGGUGAGGCUCUGGGACCUGGACGGAAAGAGCGUUUCGCUUGUUCUGUUUGGGAAACUUGGUCGAACCUUAUCAUUUAGAGGAAGGAGAAGUCGUAACA